UCACUGCUUGAUGUUCAGGAGAGGAGAGGUACAGCGCUGCUAGAUGUUCAGGAGAGGAGAGGUACAGCACUGCAUGAUGUUCAGGAGAGGAGAGGUACAACACUGCAUGAUGAUCAGGAGAGGAGAGGUACAGCACUGCUAGAUGUUCAGGAGAGGAGAGCUACAGCACUGCUAGAUGUUCAGGAGAGCUACAGCACUGCUAGAUGUUCAGGAGAGGUACAGCACUGCUAGAUGUUCAGGAGAGCUACAGCACCACUUCUCAGCUUGGGAGUCACGCCCUCCAGUGGGAGGAGUCUGGCUUGGAGUGGGAGGAUCU
ensembl:lncRNA